rnacentral:rRNA from 1 species
GAUGAACGCUGGCGGCGUGCCUAAUACAUGCAAGUCGAGCGAACGGACGAGAAGCUUGCUUUUCUGAUGUUAGCGGCGGACGGGUGAGUAACACGUGGAUAACCUACCUAUAAGACUGGGAUAACUUCGGGAAACCGGAGCUAAUACCGGAUAAUCUUUUGAACCGCAUGGUUCAAAAGUGAAAGGCGGUCUUGCUGUCACUUAUAGAUGGAUCCGCGCUGCAUUAGCUAGUUGGUAAGGUAACGGCUUACCAAGGCAACGAUGCAUAGCCGACCUGAGAGGGUGAUCGGCCACACUGGAACUGAGACACGGUCCAGACUCCUACGGGAGGCAGCAGUAGGGAAUCUUCCGCAAUGGGCGAAAGCCUGACGGAGCAACGCCGCGUGAGUGAUGAAGGUCUUCGGAUCGUAAAACUCUGUUAUUAGGGAAGAACAUAUGUGUAAGUAACUGUGCACAUCUUGACGGUACCUAAUCAGAAAGCCACGGCUAACUACGUG